CCCCCCCCCCCCCAUUUGUUACCUGGUGCGAUGUGACAUCACCUCACGUCUGUGUCAUCAGUCACAUCCGUCGUGCAGACUGCUGCCGACACAUCAUCUGAAGAGUGCCGUACAUUUGUGGGAUAUGAGUGCUGUGAUCGAGCCAGUAUUCCGUUCAUUAACUAACGGC